rnacentral:rRNA from 1 species
GAUGAACGCUAGCGGCAGGCUUAAUACAUGCAAGUCGAGGGGUAACACGGGUAGCAAUACCUGGUGACGACCGGCAAACGGGUGCGGAACACGUACAGAACCUUCCUUUAAGCGGGGGAUAGCCCAUAGAAAUGUGGAUUAAUACCCCACUAGUAAUAUUGUCUGGCAUCAGAUGGUAUUUAAAGUAUUUAUCACUUAAAGAUGGCUGUGCGGCUGAUUAGGUAGUUGGUGCGGG